AUAUUGGACAAUGGUGGCAACCCUGAUCCAGCCAUGCCGCGUGUGUGAAGAAGGUAUUCGGAUUGUAAAGCACUUUAAGUUGGGAGGAAGGGCUUUAGGCUAAUACCCUGAAGUUUUGACGUUACCAACAGAAUAAGAACCGGCUAACUGCAUGCCUGCAGCCGCGGCAAAACAGAGGGUGCAAGCGUUAUUCGGAAUUACUGGGCGUAAAGCGCGCGUAGGUGGUUCAGAAAGAUGGGUGUGAAAACCCCGGGCUUAACCUGGGAACUGCUUUCAUAACUGCAGAGCUAGAGUACGGUAGAGGGUAGUGGAAUUUCCUGUGUAGCGGUGAAAUGCGUAGAUAUAGGAAGGAACACCAGUGGCGAAGGCGACUACCUGGACUGAUACCGACACUGAGGUGCGAAAGCGUGGGGAGCAAAC
rnacentral:rRNA from 1 species